UGGGGGAUAUUGCACAAUGGGCGAAAGCCUGAUGCAGCGACGCCGCGUGGGGGAUGAAGGCUUUCGGGUUGUAAACCUCUUUCGCUAUCGAACAAGGCCCGCUUAGGGUGGGUUGAGGGUAGGUGGAGAAGAAGCGCCGGCUAACUACGUGCCAGCAGCCGCGGUAAUACGUAGGGCGCGAGCGUUGUCCGGAAUUAUUGGGCGUAAAGGGCUUGUAGGCGGGUUGUUGCGCAUGCGGUGAAAACGCGGGGCUUAACUUCGCGCGUGCAGUGGGUACGGGCAGGCUUAAGUGUGGUAGGGGUGACUGGGAUUCCAGGUGUAGCGGUGGAAUGCGCGGAUAUCUGGAGGAACACAGAUGGCGAAGGCAGGUCACUGGGCCAUUACUGACGCUGAGGAGCGAAAGCAUGGGUAGCGAACAGG
rnacentral:rRNA from 1 species